GCCUGAACGCGCAGUAUUAUCGAUGCAUAGCGAUGAUACGACUCGAUGACUACUGGCUGUCAUCCUACGGAGCAGCAUGGGAUAUGACAUGGAGUACUGAUCACGACGCGUGAUGAGAGUACCGUAGUAGUCUACAGCAGGAAGAAGAAUGCGGUACUGAGUAGAGUCGGCUACUCGUGCAGCAGCGCGGUAUCGUAGGGGCAGCGUUUCCGAAUUCUGGGUGUAAAGGAGCUAGACGUGAAGUAGUCUGGAGUGAAAGCGGGGGCCACCCCGGCUGCUCUGGAACUAUUGACUAGAGUGCAGGAGAGGUAACCGGAAUCCUAGUGUAGCGUGAAAUGCGUAGAUAUUGGAGGACACAGUGGCAAGGCCGCUUACUGGCCGUUACUGGCGUUGAGGUUGAAAGCCUGGGGGACAAACCAGGUUAAGUUCCCUGUUGUCCCCCCCUUAACGGUGGUCCCUAAGGUUCGGUGGGUAUGGGCCCCUCGGGUCCGCCACCAAAGCAGUAAAUGGAUCCCCUUGGGGAGUCCGUCGCCAAAAUGGAACUCCAAGGAAUUUGCCGGGGACCCCCCCAGCGGGUGGACCAUGUGUUUUAUUCGAAACCACGCGGAAGACCCUUACCAAGUCUUGCCUUCCCAAUGACGAGUGAGUAACCUUCCUUUUCCUUCGGGGCAUUGGAGACAGGUGGUGCAUGGUUGUCGUCAGCUCGUGUCGUGAGAUGUUGGGUUAAGUCCCGCAACGAGCGCAACCCUUAUCUUUAGUAGCCAGCGAGUGAAGUCGGGCACUCUAGAGAGACUGCCGGGGAUAACCGGAGGAAGGCGGGGACGACGAAGCGUGAGGACACUACUUCAGGUUGAACCC
rnacentral:rRNA from 1 species